rnacentral:rRNA from 1 species
CAGUCGCCGCGGUAACACGUAGGUGGCAAGCGUUGUCCGGAAUCACUGGGCGUAAAGGGUGCGUAGGCGGGUCUUUAAGUCAGGGGUGUAAUCCUGGAGCUCAACUCCAGAACUGCCUUUGAUACUGAAGAUCUUGAGUUCGGGAGAGGUGAGUGGAACUGCGAGUGUAGAGGUGAAAUUCGUAGAUAUUCGCAAGAACACCAGUGGCGAAGGCGACUCACUGGCCCGAUACUGACGCUGAGGCACGAAAGCGUGGGGAGCAGACAGGAUUAGAUACCCGUGUAGUCCCUGUCUCUUAUAA